rnacentral:rRNA from 1 species
AGAGUUUGAUCAUGGCUCAGGGUAAACGCUGGCGGCGCGCCUAAUGCAUGCAAGUCGAGCGGUCCUGUUGGCUUCGGCCUUCAGGAUAGCGGCAAACGGCUGAGUAACGCGUGAGUAACCUAUCCCUUGGUGGGGUAAAACCUCGAGAAAUCGAGGCUAAUACCGCAUAAGUUCCUCGUGCCUUGGUGCGGGGAGGAAAGCCUUCGGGCGCCAGAGGAGGGGCUCGCGCCCUAUCAGGUAGUUGGUAGGGUAAUGGCCUACCAAGCCUACGACGGGUAGCUGGUCUGAGAGGACGGCCAGCCAGAGGGGGACUGAGACACGGCCCCCACUCCUACGGGAGGCAGCAGCAGGGAAUCUUGGGCAAUGGGCGAAAGCCUGACCCAGCGACGCCGCGUGGAGGAAGAAGGCUUUCGGGUCGUAAACUCCUUUUCCAAGGGAAGA